AUGGCGUCAGAGGGCGGCGGGCCUGCGGCCACGGCUGCAUGCACAGCACAGCACCGGCUGGCCCAGGCUCGCUACCUCUGCUCUACUGCUGCACGGCCGCUGCUCACCCGGCCGGCCGCGGCAGGGGAGAAGAGCAAGGAGCAGUGCACCUUUUUCCUUUUCCUUUUUCCUCUUCUUCUUCCUCGGCCCUCGAGCUUCGCUGUGCGCUCCGGUCGCCGUGUGGUUGCAUCCAUCCAUUCUCUAUCGUACUGCCACGAAUCUGAUAUCGCUGUUCGAUUCCGUGCGGCGCAUGCAUGCGCCUCUCUGCCAUGGCCUGCCCGCGCGCGCGUCCUGUGCUGUCGCUGCAGCCGGGCUCUGCCUCUUGCCUCUGCCCCUCUUGGGGAGGAGGGGCAGGCUUUGCCUCAUCGGGCGCUGUUGCCGUGUACUCUAGCGCUGGACUUUGCCUCUGGGAGGGGGCUAUCGGCAUCAGGGCUAGCUGUGCCUGUGCCUAGCAGGUCGAGUCAAGGAGAGGACGGCCGCGCCGCGCGCCUCCGUUUAUCAUUAUCGGCGUGCGCUGUGCCGUGCCGUGCCGUGUCGUCCCUUGAUCAAGUUCACCAAACCCAAUGCCCUUCUCUCGUGUGCGCCCUCCAUUUCUCACGUUCUAGUCGUCGCCGUCAUCCACCCUUGCUCCCCCAUCAGCACCGUCACCUCCACUCGCCGCCCGAUGUCAUCGCCGGGUACCCCGCCCCCACCGCCACCACACAUGUUACCUUGGCGUCAUUUAUGGGGCUCUCGCCCAUGGCAAUGAGCCGGCCAAGGAUGUUGUGGACCUCGACGACGAUAUGUCCCCUCCGAUGCGCUGGUCACCCCUCAACCGUCCAUCCUAUCGUCGGCAGUGAAUUACAUACGGAUUUAUGGAAAAGCAAGCGCUGGACGACGAGGUGUGCGACUCGCAGCAACUCCAACGGGCACAGAGAAGCACAUGCAGCGUCGGCGUCUGGUCUCCCAGCUCCCACUCAACGGAAUAUGGUGUUGGCCGUCGCUUUGUUUCAACAAAUCAAGAGGAAGCAAUUAGGUUUUAGCCAUUGCUGGAUCAAAUUGAAUGGUCAGCCAAAGUGGAAUCAAUUUGUAGAAGACCUCGAGAAAGGCAAUAAAAGUUUGAAGACAAAUGAUGGCUAUAGCUCCCACCAAUACAUUGGAGUGGAUGCCAAAGAGGAAGAAGUUGUAGGGGAGAAUGGAAGAGCCACCGUGCCAAAGAAUAACCGACAAGUGAUGGGAAAAAAGUGGGAGAAGGGAGGGCCGGCCGUGACACAACGGCGACAAAAUUGUCCACCACAUGGAUGUGCAUUCUUUUCACAAUGGAGAAAAAGAAAGAGGAGAGGUACAAGUUCAUGUUGGAUGCAAAAAAAAGGAUGGGUUCGGACCGAGAGAGGCUUGAGAAGGGUCAGGCUUGUGGAUCAACAGAGCUUGAGAAGGAGAGGUUGCAACUCGCUCAAGACACGGAGGAUUCAAGGAUUUUGUUGGCGGGCGCGAGACUCUUGGAUGAGCAAGCAAGGAAGUGGCCCGAGGGGGAAGAGGAAUGAGAUCAACCAGCGUAAGGAGUACGUUGUGCCAGAGCGUCGAUGGCAGCCGCGACAGAGCAAGCAACAUGGAUGGCAACCAGCAAGUGAUUCAUCACGUUGGCCGGACAUGGCCCAGACUUGA
rnacentral:rRNA from 1 species